GGCACGGUGGCGCAGUGGUCAGCACUGCUGCCUCGUAAGAAGGAGGUUCUGGGUUCGAGUCUGGUGCGUGGAG
rnacentral:tRNA from 1 species